AGGUUUCCGUAGGUGAACCUGCGGAAGGAUCAUUACCGAGUGUAGGGUUCCUAGCGAGCCCAACCUCCCACCCGUGUUUACUGUACCUUAGUUGCUUCGGCGGGCCCGCCAUUCGUGGCCGCCGGGGGCUCUCAGCCCCGGGCCCGCGCCCGCCGGAGACACCACGAACUCUGUCUGAUCUAGUGAAGUCUGAGUUGAUUGUAUCGCAAUCAGUUAAAACUUUCAACAAUGGAUCUCUUGGUUCCGGCAUCGAUGAAGAACGCAGCGAAAUGCGAUAACUAGUGUGAAUUGCAGAAUUCCGUGAAUCAUCGAGUCUUUGAACGCACAUUGCGCCCCCUGGUAUUCCGGGGGGCAUGCCUGUCCGAGCGUCAUUGCUGCCCAUCAAGCACGGCUUGUGUGUUGGGUCGUCGUCCCCUCUCCGGGGGGGACGGGCCCCAAAGGCAGCGGCGGCACCGCGUCCGAUCCUCGAGCGUAUGGGGCUUUGUCACCCGCUCUGUAGGCCCGGCCGGCGCUUGCCGAACGCAAAUCAAUCUUUUUCCAGGUUGACUCGGAUCAGGUAGGGAUACCCGCUGAACUU
rnacentral:rRNA from 1 species